GGCAGGCUGCGGCUUCAUUAUCCUGAUUGAUUCCUCCUGCUCCCCGACACUGUGGGGGCCCCGGCCAAGGAAGGGGGGCGGAGGCGGCAUCUGCGGGUCCCUUCCCUGGCUCUCGCCUGCGGUCGCUGCUCAGGCUGUCGGCCCCUCGGUGCCCUGCAGCGGGAAGGGAGGACCUGCCUAGCCUCUGCCCCGGUCGUGGGCAGGGAGGGCUCUGAGAAGAAACCGAGUAGUGUCUGGCGCCACGCUCCUGCCAAAGGGCUCGCCCUCAACAAAGGUUUUACGCCUUCUCCAGGAGGAUAUGGAAGGGUUGGGGUGAAGCAGAAGCACGGUGAUGGACUUAAAACUUCGGUGGUGGACUGAGAACUUCAGGGAAGAACAUCCUGACAAAAUGGGAAAGGAGGAAAAAAAAUGCAAGGGAGGAUUUUUCGUCUAUAACUGGAGGCAAGUAAGUAUACAUGUGGAGGCCUGCCAGGCUGGCCAGGGUCCUCCAUCAUUGUGGCCCUGGGUUCAAGUGCCUCAGUCUCCCCGCUGGCCUGACUGGCCUGCCCCAUCCUCAGCAUGUAUAUCCCUCAGUUCUACUUCCUGUUAAUACAAACCAUGUGGGACCCUGGCUGUGGCAUCUCCAAGUUGAAGAUGAAGACUCCGCCCCCUUGUGGCUGCCAGGGAGGCUGGCAGGAAGGGGCAUCUCCACAAGACAUCUCCUGGGAAACAGUGAUCUCCCCAGAGAAGAGACAUUUGGAAAUAAAAUUCCAGCCAUUGUGUGUUUGUUUGUGUGUCGGGUUGGAAGAAGAAGUUAAGAAACCUCCUCAGCCCUCUCUGCUCUUCUCUCUCUUCAGGGGAAGCCUCCCUCAGCAGCUGUCACUGCCUCCUAAGAUGAUAGCUGCUUGCAGGCUCUGUUGGGACUGGAAAGUGGCCUAGAUGCAGAUGUAGGAGAAGAGCACUGGGCUGAGAGUCAGAGGCCCAAGUUCUCGGCUUCUGUGUCCCACCUGUGACCCUGGCCUAUUAUCCCUCCCUUUCCCAGUCCUAGGUUCCUCUGUAAACUGUGGGUAUUUCACCACUGUUCUUAGUUACUGCACUGGACCUACUCCACAGGCCCAAGAAUGGUCAUUCUAGGCCAUUAUUUCCUGCACCAGGGACAGAUAUCUGAUAGGAGAUCGUGAUUCCUUGUGUUGACAAUUAGUUGUUUAAACCA